rnacentral:lncRNA from 1 species
CUGCACGAUUGAUCACUUGAUACAUUACGUCUCCAGAUCUAUCACUCCUUCUUUCAUGGCUUGCUAUCAUUCCACACUUAGGUACUGCUGCCGCUUUAGUGAGGCAAGGGGUGAACAAUGUCCUCGUAAGAGCCCUGGUUUUCAUUCAAGACAUUACCAAAACGAUUUAUUUCCAUAAGAAAUGACAGCUACAGUACAAAUAUCCUCUUUGUAGUUGAAAGAUAGCAGACACAGCUUUUUCUAUCGUACUCUACACUCAGCAGACGGGAAACUUUUCUAGGGCACAUAAAUUUCAAAUUGAGCAUUAAUAGAAGAAAAUGGUACCAAAAAAUACACAAGGACAAAAAUGUCAAUUGCUACAUGUAUGGUAACUGCUGAGUUACAGCCUGAACCACUGAUUGAGCACCUGGGGAAAAGAUCCAGUCAGCCCUGGAUUGCACAGAUUAAGGCAAUGCAUCUGUUAGACUUCAUUUAAGGGCUGACUGCCACUGAGGAAGAAUCCCUUUCUGGAGAUCCCUCCUUGGUGAAGCUUUCCCCUGUGAACCUGGAAUCUUCUUCCCUUCCUUUAUAUCACCUUUCUAUUGUGCUGGUCCUUCUGUCAUCACACCUUUAUUGCAACAGUUUUCCCAUCGUACUGAGUUGUCCAAUUACUACCCCAGACAACUUCAAAUACCGUGGAAUUAGUUUUUGUGUAAAUGUUUUGAUUUAGAACCCUAAAUUAACCAUCUGUUAUUGCUGAUGGAAAGAAAAAACUAUCAACAAAAGCAUGGGAGCACUGAAAUUGGUGGAACAUUGGAUUCCAGAAUGAAUAAGUGGGAGUUCUCCAUAAAAGGAGUGUUUAGAGGUAUGCCAAGUCAUAUACUUGUGUCUAGUCUAACUCUAAUAAGCAUUUAACGUUGCUGCUCAGACAUUGCCAUACUUCUGGCACAAUAUUGCAAGGCUCAUUGUUAAACCAGCAUUAAUGAGCUUAGCAUUAUAACGCAAAGUGAGGGAAACAAUAUCAUUAUAUGCCUUGAUUAUUCCUAUUACCCUAAUAUCUCAAACAUAUUCUAACGAUAAACUAUUCAGAUCAUAUGAAGAUAAAAUAAAAAUGUAUGCUGAGUUCUCUUACUUGAAGAAAAUCUAUUCACAUUGCUUGAGCAUCUUCAACUGAUAAUAACAUAUAAUGAAUGUAUACCAAAUCAUAUUCAGCUUGUGAUAAAAUACAUGCAGUCUAAAAAAAAAAAUAUUCUGACAUUAUAGGAAUGUUUUGGUUACUCUGCCUGUCCAGCAGGUUACAAUCAGGAAACUGAUCUUUCUUGAGAGGAUGACCCAGUCCCACUGCUACUACUGCUAGCAAAUCCCAUCUACGUAAAUUCAUCAAAGUUAGUUCACAUUAUAUUUAGUACAAGAGAAAUGGUUUACAACAUCACAGUCAUAUUAAGUGCCUCAGCUAAGGGUUUGCAUUUUAAGUGCACAACAGAAGUUCCCUAUAAUAAGAGCAAAAGUUAAACACUCCUGCUUUGGAAGUUUACCUCAUUCUCCAGUAACAAAGUACUAUUUAACUACAAAUACACAUCUUUAAAUUUCUUUAAAAUCAUUCUUUUGUUCAAAUAAAAGUCUCGGUAUUUCAUGUAAAGGACUUUCUACUAGAUACCAAAUAUCAUCUUCAUAUUUUAGUUCUAUGCUUAUAUCAAAUGUCUUUACUUGAUAGGUUUAGGAUACUUUUGCUUCUACACACUCCUGAAGAAACUCUCUUACACAGGAGGUUUUACAACGCUUUGUUUUAAUAUUUUACCACUGUCGAAGUUAGACAGGGAGAUACCAGACACUGCUGCAGCUUCACCCUGGACAGCUUCGUUAGAUUGACUGGUGCUUUGUCAUAAAGUAUUACCAUUCAGUGGGUCUGUAUUCUGUGUUUCUUGCUGGGCAUCGGUGAGAUCUUUCUGGUUCGGAUCAGAGUUAGUGCAUUUUUCUGAGUUGGAUUCAUCACUCAGAGAAGUGUUGGAAGUGACUACUUGUAGGACGAUGGGUCUGGGAGGACAGGCUGUACCACCGCUUCCCUGACUACUCUCAUUUUGUCUGCUUCUUGUCUCUUCCUGUAACUGUGCAUCUGUGGAAUUUCUGCUCUGGUCUUUUUCCUGUUCAUCAACAUUUUUCACAAGUUCUUCUUCUACUGCUAAUUCCUUCCAUCUUUCUUUGUUUGCUUGAAU